CAUGUGGUUCAUCACAGCUUUACUUUGGUUUGCAGUAGGAAUUUCAGGUGAUGGAUCUCCAACCAUCCUCCAGAGGCCGCAGUCAGUGGUGGAGAGGCCAGGCGGCAGCCCUUCCUUGGAUUGCUCUCUGGAAAGAUCAUCCAACCCCAAUUUCUACUGGUACAAGCAACUUCCAGGAGGACAGAUUGAACAGCUUUCCUAUUCAAUAAGCCAGGGAAGCUCAACAAAUGUUGGGCCAGCUCACAUCCAAGGAACACGGCCUAGUGAUAGCAACUUCAUCCUGGCGUUCACCAGCCUCAGCACCAGUGACACUGGGACCUAUUACUGUGCCUGGAGCCGCACACUGUACCAAGGGAGUGCAGCACCCUGACAAAAACUCUUCCUCCUUUCAAGCUGAAGGAGCCCCGCCUGUCUGCAACAAAGCAGGCCACAAGGUGUCCCUUUUUGUGGGUUUGGUUAGAUUUCUUCACAGUGAAUGUGCAGAGAACAGAAACCACCUUAAACACUUCCUGGAGGUUGCAGGCAGCAGAGCUGAACCUUUGAAUGCACUAUUGUCCCUUCAGACUGAAGCUAGCUUGGUGUAAUGGUCUGAGUAUUGGAAUAGGACCCUGGGAGACCAAGGUUCGAAUCUUGACUCCCACUGGGUAAUCUUAGACAGGUCACAAUCUCUCUCAGUCUCAGA